GCGGGUGUGACGGAAUUGGUAGACGUGCAAGAUUUAGGUUCUUGUGUCCUUCGGCGUGGGAGUUCGAGUCUCUUCACCCGCACCA
rnacentral:tRNA from 1 species